ensembl:misc_RNA 7SK 7SK RNA
GGAUAUGAAGGUGAUCUGGCUGUGACGUCAUCCCAUUGAUCCCCAGGAUGGAUUUGGCUGAUCUGACUGGCUUGGGGGUGUCCCCUUCCUCACUCACCACUCCAUGUGUGUCCCUCCCAAAGCUGCAUGCUUUGUCCAAGAGGACCACCAUGCCUGCUAAAGGAAUACCAGUCUUUGGUAAAGAGUGUAUAAGUAGCUGCAAUCCCCUGCUAGAACCUCCAAACAAGCUCUCAAAGAGUCAAAUCCUGGGCCCAGAAUUUCCAAACCCAUGACUCUAAAAUGUGUAGCUAUGGAAACCAGAUAGCUAUUAAUU